UGUGAUUUAGUAUGGUAGAGGCACUUAAACAUGAUUACAUAAACGAGUGGCAUUGUAACAUACCGGAUUUUAAUUUAAAAGUGAAUAUAAAUAAAGAUAGUAUGGGAUACUAUUUUUAUUGGACUUAGAGAAGUAAAGCAUAAGUCGGAAACGACCUAUGCUGAAAUCGGAACGGAAACAGAAGAUUUAGAAUUUUCUGUGAGAAACGGGACUGAUAUUUUAGCAGAAAAUGCACAGUGUCAGAAAAUUAUGAAAUCUAGAGAAUAUGUCAGAAUUAUUUUUAUGAGGCU
rnacentral:lncRNA from 1 species